rnacentral:rRNA from 1 species
AUUGAACGCUGGCGGCAGGCCUAACACAUGCAAGUCGAGCGGAUGAGGAAAGCUUGCUUUUCGAUUCAGCGGCGGACGGGUGAGUAAGGCCUAGGAAUCUGCCUGUUAGUGGGGGAUAACUCGGGGAAACCCGGGCUAAUACCGCAUACGUCCUACGGGAGAAAGUGGGGGAUCUUCGGACCUCACGCUAACAGAUGAGCCUGGGCGGGAUUAGAUAGUAGGUGAGGUAAUGGCUCAACUAGGCGACGAUCCGUAACUGGUCUGAGAGGGUUAUCAGUCACACUGGAACUGAGACACGGUCCAGACUCCUACGGGAGGCAGCAGUGGGGAAUAUUGGACAAUGGGCGAAAGCCUGAUCCAGCCAUGCCGCGUGUGUGAAGAAGGUCUUCGGAUUGUAAAGCACUUUAAGUUGGGAGGAAGGGUAUUCACCUAAUACGUGGGUACUUUGACGUUACCAACAGAAUAAGCACCGGCUAACUCUGUGCCAGCCGCCGCCGUAAGAC